rnacentral:rRNA from 1 species
GUAGGUGGCAAGCGUUGUCCGGAAUUAUUGGGCGUGAAGCGCGCGCAGGCGGUCCUUUAAGUCUGAUGUGAAAGCCCACGGCUCAACCGUGGAGGGUCAUUGGAAACUGGGGGACUUGAGUACAGAAGAGGAAAGCGGAAUUCCAAGUGUAGCGGUGAAAUGCGUAGAGAUUUGGAGGAACGCCAGUGGCGAAGGCGGCUUUCUGGUCUGUAACUGACGCUGAGGCGCGAAAGCGUGGGGAGCAAACAGGGAUUAGAUACCCUGGUAGUCCACGCCGUAAACGAUGAGUGCUAAGUGUUAGGGGGUUUCCCGCCCCUUAGUGCUGCAGCUAACGCAUUAAGCACUCCGCCUGGGGAUACGGCCGCAAGGCUG